rnacentral:misc_RNA from 1 species
CCGUAUCCCGGCGGUGCGGGUGCUUCCCAGCUCCGGCCCAAAAGGCCGUGCAGCGGGAGGUGCGCGCGCCGCCCAACCUUUGCAAACCCCACUGUGAACCUUCACGGCGGAGGGUGCUGGCGAGAGCCGGUGCCCGAGGCCGCUUUCAACAAAGACUCCUGUAUCAAAAGAAUGUCUAGCAGCCCCCGAGCUGCCUAUGAAACUUGA